rnacentral:lncRNA from 1 species
GCCCAAAAGAGAGAAAGAGAAACAUGUGUACAUGUGGAUAAUGAACCACAUGAUACAUAUGUAUUUGUGGAUAGUGAAAUUUGUAUUUGUGGAUACAUGAUACAUUUGUAUAUACAUGAUAAUGAACCAUGUGUAUACAUGAUACAUAUGUAUUUGUGGAUAGUGAAAUUUGUUUAAAUAUAGAUAAUGAAAAUAUAUGUGCAUCUCUAUGCUAUUGACUGUAUAUAUGUUGAAAUAUAUUAA